rnacentral:tRNA from 1 species
GGGGCUGUAGCUCAGUGGCAAAGCACUUGCCUCACACGCAUGAGGCUCUGGAUUUGAUCCUCAGCACCA